GAUAAACGCUGGCGGCGUGCUUAACACGUGCAAGUCGAACGAAGUUUUUCCUUCGGGAGAAACUUAGUGGCGGACGGGUGAGUAACGCGUGGGUAACCUGCCCUGUACAGGGGGACAACAGCUGGAAACGGCUGCUAAUACCGCAUAAGCCCUUAGCACUGCAUGGUGCAUAGGGAAAAGGAGCAAUCCGGUACAGGAUGGACCCGCGUCUGAUUAGCCAGUUGGCAGGGUAACGGCCUACCAAAGCGACGAUCAGUAGCCGAUCUGAGAGGAUGUACGGCCACAUUGGGACUGAGACACGGCCCAGACUCCUACGGGAGGCAGCAGUGGGGAAUAUUGCACAAUGGAGGAAACUCUGAUGCAGCGACGCCGCGUGAGUGAAGAAGUAUUUCGGUAUGUAAAGCUCUAUCAGCAGGGAAGAAAAUGACGGUACCUGACUAAGAAGCACCGGCUAAAUACGUG
rnacentral:rRNA from 1 species